rnacentral:rRNA from 1 species
UACAGAGACUGCAAGCGUUAUUCGGAUUCACUGGGCGUAAAGGGUGCGCAGGCGGCCGUGUGUGUGAGGCGUGAAAGCCUGGGGCUUAACCCCAGAAUUGCACCUCAAACUACAUGGCUAGAGCAUUGGAGAGGGUAGCAGAAUUCAUGAUGUAGCAGUGAAAUGCGUAGAUAUCAUGAGGAAUACCAGAGGCGAAGGCGGCUACCUGGACAAUUGCUGACGCUCAGGCACGAAAGCGUGGGGAGCGAACAGG